rnacentral:rRNA from 1 species
UACGGGGGGGGCAAGCGUUGUUCGGAAUUACUGGGCGUAAAGGGCUCGUAGGCGGCCAACUAAGUCAGACGUGAAAUCCCUCGGCUUAACCGGGGAACUGCAUCUGAUACUGGAUGGCUUGAGUUCGGGAGAGGGAUGCGGAAUUCCAGGUGUAGCGGUGAAAUGCGUAGAUAUCUGGAGGAACACCGGUGGCGAAGGCGGCAUCCUGGACCGACACUGACGCUGAGGAGCGAAAGCCAGUGGAGCAAACGGG